GCAGACAAGCAGUCAGCUGUCCAUUGUCGUCAUGCCAGAUUUUUGUUGCACCUACGGAUGUGGAAAUCGUGGAAACAGAGACAUUGGGAAGCGAUUUUUCCGUGUUCCAAAGAUUAGAUUCCAUGAAGGAGAAGAUACAACGGAGUUAUCGAAAAAAACAGCAACAAAAGUGGCUUGCAAAUAUGCGACGUGCAGAUCUGAACGAAGCUCCAGUACACAAGGCAAAGGGAAAUCUUUCAGAUCCUUUGAAAGCAUGUCGUGGUGGAAAGUAUACGGAUCGAUAUCUUCACAGAGUUUGAUCUUCUGCACAUAUCUAGCUUCGGCGACAUCAUCGAGUGAAUUAAAAAAUGGCGGCCAUUAGCACGUGUUUGCGACCCAAGGAUUGCCUGGCAACCAGUUCAGGGUGUACCCCACCUCCUGCCCGUUGACAACUUGGAGAGGCUCCAGCGCUCCCUGCGACCCUCGUGAGGAUAAGCGGCAAAGAAAAUGGAUGGAUGGAUGUAUCAUUCCAUACGCCUAAAUGUUAAAACAUGGCAAAGGUGAGGUUCUGAUGCACAGACGCGCAAGGAGUCCGUGAAGUGCAAAACAACAAGUCCGUAACAUGAUUGAUUGAAUAUCACCACGUCAACUUACCUCAAGCAGUAUUGGUUAACACAACGGUGCCAUUUAACUAUCAAUACUGCAACCUUUAACGCAUUUAACCUGUCAUUUACAAAAAAAAAAGGAGCUUUUCACUGCUUUAAAACAUUUGAUCCCUCUUCCUGUCACAGGGUCCAGGCUUGUGAAAGCUAAUUGACUCUAAUGAAGCAGAUAACAUGGAGAUCCUCCUGAUGGUGACAUGGGAAAUGAACUUGGGAGGUUCAGGUGAAACCCGAGAAAUCCCGGCGACGAUAUUUCCUGUGAACAUUGACUCUAUUCUUUGCCAGAUCUGUGGCAUGAUUAGGCGCUGGGAAGUGGAAGGAUGCAUUCCUUGCCUGAGUGAGGAGGAGGAGGAGCGGGCGUAGAUGCUUCAUAACGGGAUGUGGUUGUGUCCGGAAUCAACCAAUCACAGACCAAUCACAUUCAGACUCAUUCAAACCUGGAAUUGUCAAAACAUUUCACAUCCACUGCAUCUUCAUUGCCAUUUGUACAUUUAUCCAUCCAGUUUCUUAGCCGCUUAUCCUCAUGAGGCUGAGCAGGGGUACCGGAGCCUAUCCCAGCUAUCAUCAGGAAAGAGGCGGGGUACACCCUGAACUGGUUCCCAGCCAAUCAGAGGGCAUAUGGAGACAAACAACGCACGUUUUUUGGGAUGUGGCACGAGGAGAACAUGCAAACUCCACAACAGGUGGGGUCGGGAUUUGAAUCCCGGUCCUCAGAACUGUGAGGCCAACAAUCUAACCAAAUGCUGCACUCUCGCGCCCUAGUUCCAAUCGUUAAUUGCAAAUUAUAGACUGCAUGUGCUAUGAUUGAAAGCUUUAAUGUUGCUUCAUAAUCAUAUCACAUCAACAGACGCUGAUCAGAUGCAAUGAGUUCCGUCUUGCUCAAAGGCAAAAAAAACCAAAAAACAACUUUCAGUCAAAUUACUGUUUUGGUAGUCUGUGCCUCUAUUGGUAUUGUCAAUAGUCAUCAAUUUACGGAAGGGUCAGAGGUUCAAAUCCCAGCUCUAGCUGUUUGCUGCGGACGUGUCCUUGGGCAACACACUGAACCCGAACAGUUCUCCAAGUUGCCUUUUUGAAUGAUAAAAGCGUUCUUAACUGCCUUAUCUGGCUAAACAAAGAAACUUUGUUGUGUCAGAAAGGCAAAAAUAAAAAGAUGCAACAUGCACUCGCAAAGGUUAAGGACUGCUUGUGUCAUGCAGUGAUUGUCCUUGGUUCACAAAUCUCGCUUUUGUGGAAUUUGCAUUUCAGAUUUUUAAUGGGUUUUCUCCCACUACUGCAUCUUUGCUCCCAGAUUUCAACAACGCGCAUGUUAGGUUACUUGAAGAUUGCGGGGGUUUGGUCAAAGUCAGCUGGGACGGAACCUCACCUGUGACCUGAAUGAGGACAGGCGCUAUGGGUAAUAGAUGCACGAUACUUACAUUAAUAAACAACACGCAUUUUCAAGCAUUCUUAAACCAGGGGUGGGUGUCAAACUCAUUUUUGUCUUGGGCCGCGUUGUAGUCAUGAUUUCACGGAGAGUUACAACAGUGGAACCAAAUAAUGUUUAAUCAUCAGCUCAUAUUAUCACCAUUGCACAAGAAAUUGAGGGAUAACUAGUUUUAAAGUCAGAUGACAAGGAUAAUACAGUGAUGCCUCGGUUCUCGACCACAAUCUGUUCCAGACAACGGUUCGA